rnacentral:tRNA from 1 species
CGGUAGCUCAGUUGGAUAGAGCAUCUGCCUUCUAAGCAGACGGUCUCGGGUUCGAAUCCCG